AUUCUCCUCCUGCUUCCGCCGUCGCCGCGCGGCGUCUACUUUGCCCUGCCUAGUCUUCCUUUUUCAGGCUUCUACUACUCACUGUCCAGUUUCUGGUUUUCUUGCAUAUUGUCCCUCAGAUUUCAGUCCUUCGCCCCUGCUUUUUAGUUUCGCGGUCAAGGAGAACGGUUGCUGUGUUUUAGAACGCAGUGGGUACGUCAAAAAGUAUGCAGGAGAGGAAGAACAAGGUUCAAGCAAGUGUGGCUGGUCUGGUUGAAAGAAAAUAAAAGACGGUAAAUAAAAUUCACCAGAGACCACAUAGCCAGAGAAGGACAAGCUGGGUUUUGAAUCUAGGCAAUCUUGACCCCAGAGCCCUCCAGCCUAAAGAAAUGAAGCACCCUGGGAGUUCCUGUUGUGGCUCAGAAGAAAUGAAUCUGACUAGUAUCCAUGAGGGCAAAGGUUUGAUCCCUGGCCUCGCUCAGUGGACUAAGGAUCCAGCAUUGCUGUGAGCUGUGGUGUAGGUCAUAGAUAUGGACCUGGCAUUGCUAUGGCUGUGGCAUAGGCUGGCAGCUACAGCUCCGAUUUGACCCCUAGCCUCGGAACCUCCAUAUGCCACAUGUGCGGCCCUAAAAAGACCAAAAAAAAAAAAAAAAAGAAGAAGAAGAAGAAAGAAAUGAAGUACCCUGAUUGGCCACACCUAGGUAAUCGGACUACUCCAGUUGCUGGGAAGUGAAUGUGUCAGCCUAACCUGGACCAGAUGGGAUGAGAAUGGGGAAGGCACUGGACUUAUGUGAAACCUGAACAGAUACUAAUUUAAUUUGGUCUCAGUAUAUUGCUAAAGACUUUGAAAUGCUUUGAAAAUUAUUUUUCUUAUUUCUUAUUAUUACUAGUUGACAACCUUGGCUAUAUAUUGGAAUCGCCUGGAGAGUACACUACCCCAGACCAACUAAAUCUUGGGGAUGGGACCCUGGCAUAGGCAUUUCUACAGCUCCCAAGGUAAAUAUGCAGCCAAAGUUGACAAACAUAUCCUAUGUAAAACAUUAUUUCUUAAUCUGGGGCCAAUUAAGCCUCACAUUGAUCUUACUCUAUAUCUAGUUACUCAAACUAAAAAGCCUGUGUAGAGGGAGAUUCAGGAAGAUGGAGGUAAGAGAAACAUGGCUUUUGAAUCUUUCUGUAUUUCUACAUGAAAACAGACAGAACAGCUAAAUCAACCCCCCCUACACACACACCCAUGAACAUUGUAUGCAGUCACACUGGGGGAAAUAUAUGCAUAUGGAUCAUGAGGUAAAAGAAGGUGGCAGAAAACCACAGAUGGUGUCUGUGCAGAUGGAUGCAGAGGAGAAGCAACUGGUAUCUGAGGAUAUGGGUCAAGGACAGCCACAAAGUAGUGGAUCUGAGGACAGCAGGCCCCCUUCCCUGACAGAGAGAGCAUCCCCAGAGAAACUCCUGGAAGUGGAAUCAAAUUAUGCAGAAUAGAGUCAGUAAAAGAUAAAGGGGAAGGAAGGGCCUACCAAAGUGGAUGAGAGGAACAGAGUCGAGAACUUUCACAAAAUAGUUAAUUCUAAAAUAUGGAAGGUAAAACACUAAACUUAAAAAAAAAAAAAAAAAAGCUUAUCUUGGCAGUAAAAAUUUCUAACUUCAACUUCAUAUGUUUCUUAUUUAAUACUUUAUUCCAGGGAGCAUGUACUCCUGGAACAGCAAGCAUAUAUUUAUAACAUAUAUAUGUUACAAAAGCCAUAUAUGAGAUAUAUAUUUAAAUUAUUUUAUAUAUGUGUGUGUUUCUGUAACACUUAGAAACACUACAUUAAAAUAUGGGUAUC
rnacentral:lncRNA from 1 species